ACUACAAUCACUGUAUCACAGGCCAGUCAUUGAUCAAUCGUACGUACGUGCGCCGCUUCAACUCCGUUCGCGCCGACACGCACUUCUUUCAUUAUCUUUCAAACAGCCCUAAAGACGGUCGGUUGUAAAAUCGAUUCUACGAGUCUUUCAGCGUAUGUUUUAGGUUCAUGGCCUUCUUUUGAGGGGAAAAUUUACUUCUGUGGUAACGUGUGUAUCGUCCGUAGCUGAUAAAGUGUUUGUUAAGUUGGGCCGUCGUCAGGCGCAGUUCAAUUCGACAUCGUUAAAAUAAUUUGGCAUCGCACUGAAUCACCUAGCACUUGUUUCCGCUUCGGUUAAAUUUAAAAAUUUUAUUUUGAAACACUUCAGUCUCCUACUUCUUCCUGACGGCUGAAAUAAUUCUGCGUAUUCCUUAUUUUUACCAUUUUUAAACGGUGAACAAUGUGUUUAGCAUUAUAAACGUUUUCUUUCAUUGACAAGCUAGCGACAUCUUUGGUCAGGAAGUUCAAGAAGGAAUAACUUUCCGCUUUUAAACAGAUGGAAAACUGAAGAGGAGUACAAAAACGAAUUUGGCAAGACGGUUUUCGCCUGUGGUCAGCCAAGAGUGCGGCAGACAUCCAAUGUUUCCACAUCAUUCUGACGGAGAAGCGCUCAAACUAUGAUGGAAAUUUUUUCGAGGAACGACGCUUCAUUCGUUGAGGAUAAACAACUUACUGAAUGUACCACAAGCUAUUGGGAACAAGUGAGAUAAAACCAGAUUGCACGAAAACAACGACUGGGAAAAGAUAUUUACUUCUACUGAAUCAGGAAAAAAAUCAUAUUUUCAGCGCGGAUUUGUGAAACAACCGCCGAAGAGAAAUUUGGUUGCUCGAUAAACAGAACAUACAGCCCGAAAAUGGCCGAAAACAAAUUUCAAAAUACAAUUAUUUAUACGCGGCCUUCGAGCGCAAUUUAACAUUAACCGUCGAGAUAAGCUGUCAAAAACUCUCCGCUUAUCUUGCUUUCUUGUUGGAUCGCCGAAUAAAUUAUUCCCUUUUGAAAAGACAUUGAAUUUUGUAGAAAAAAGAGAGUCAUAUAUAUGUAAAAUAAAUCAAAUUGAUCGUAUUCUCUUACAUUCUGCUUGUAAAUUAUUUUUCUUUUCAGAAAAAUUCUCUUUCGACGAGAAAAAGAAGAGACUGUCACAAAUUGAGAAAAUCGAUGAUGGAUUAGAAAAUACAUGAAUAAAAUUAUCUAUUAAAAUAAGAACA